GUGCCAGCAGCCGCGGUAAUACGGAGGUGGCAAGCGUUGUUCGGAAUCACUGGGCAUAAAGAGCACGUAGGCGGCAAGGCAAGUCGGGUGUGAAAUCCCCCAGCUUAACUGGGGAAUUGCGCUCGAUACUGCCUCGCUAGAGGACAGGAGGGGAGAGUGGAACUCUAGGUGGAGCGGUGAAAUGCGUUGAUAUCUAGAGGAACGCCGGUGGCGAAAGCGACUCUCUGGCCUGUUCCUGACGCUGAGUGUGCGAAAGCUAGGGUAGCGAACGGGAUUAGAUACCCCGGUAGUCCUAGCCGUAAACGAUGGGCACUAAGUAGAGGACACUCCGAUGUUUUCUCUGCCGGAGCUAACGUAUUAAGUGCCCCGCCUGGGGAGUAUGGUCGCAAGGCUAAAACUCAAAGGAAUUGACGGGGACUCGCACAAGCGGUGGAGUAUGUGGCUCAAUUCGAGGCAACGCGAAAAACCUUACCUGGGCUUGACAUGCAUGAAGUC
rnacentral:rRNA from 1 species